UCUUGCCUUCGCCGAGUUGUCAGGACUCAGCUGCUCCAGGCUUGGGGCCGUGUCUGCCCCGACAUGGUUGGAAGACCAGACUGAGCCCCGAGAGCUCCAGGCAGAAGGAUUUCAACAGUUAAACUGCACACUUUGAGAGGAUUGAGGCUCCAUGCGCAGAGGGAGAAAACACUCUCACAGACACAUCUCGGCACCACAGACGUUGCAGGACGGCACUUUUCCCCAGGCUCCUCAGCUGUGAAGCGUAAGGGUGUUGCCUUUAAAUGGAUCAACAACGCGAGAGAAUUUGAAAGACGGCCCAGCAGCAACGUGCAAACCCUGUCUUGCUUCUGUGGGCAUUCAAGGCAGCGUCACUCUUGUUUGGGGCUAAUUCAGGACGAGGAUGCUCGCCCCCGCUCAGAAACACGCACACGUCCACGCUCGCUCCAUCCAUCUCGGGUUCGCGACCAGUCAUUAAAUGUACAAUCUCCCCCACUCCCUCGGCUUCAGAGCAAAUGCAAAUAAAAAUCGCUUAAAAUGGUUAACAUUUCCUGUCACUGAAGGCAUUCGUUCGAGGUGGGGGUCGCUGAGUUUUAAAGUGUAUUUUCAUAGGAAGACUCAAUUCAGACCCGUGGCAGGAACUCAGACCGUUUGGCAGAGGGAAUUUCGGGGUUUUCGAUAAGCCUCCAUCCGUGGCAGUCAGUCGAAUGAUCCUUUAUAUUCUGUGGUUGUAGGAGAGAAAUAGCCAAAUUCGAACUUAGAUUAACCUGGGGCCCAGCUCAGCUCACAGGAAAAAAUUAAAAUAUGUUCUCUCCCCCCACCUUCUCCUUCCCGCACUCUCUUUUCCUUUAUUGGAGAAAAACCCCAAAUUUGGUGUUUUAAUUUGUGGUGUUUCCUCUAUUGACUGUUUAGCUAGUGAUUUUGCCAACUUCCUGGAUGUUCAUUUCUGAUUCUGCACAAAAGAGCCACAUUUCCUUUUGAAAUCAGGACCAGGAGACAGACAGCUGCAGACACUGGAAAUUACUGUGAGGCCUUAAGGUUGUGAAUGAAGAGGCUGGGACCAUAUAAUGUGCUGGAUAAAGACUGCGUCACCACCGUCUCUGGGCCAGUUCCAGGAAGCCCGGAAAUAAAUGGGCAGAUGGGCUGCCCGGCAUCGCAUCUCGGCCACCUGCGACCUGAGCGACCCUGGGCUCACGCCGCAAAGGGUAGGGGUCUUGGAGUCACAUGGUUUGGACAAGUCCUGCUGACUUGUGCUGCGACCCUGGACAAGUCACUCUUCAGACACCCAGGGAGGAACCGGGCUCAGUGAGGCCCCUUCUCGCCCACUCCGAGGCCUCCUCUGGCCCUGGCCCAGGCCGUCCUGGCCCGCAGCAGCUGGAAUGCAUGAAUGGCCUCAGGUCUUCACCCUUCCCUGGUCAAGCCCUUUGCCGAGGGCUCUGUUGCUCCUUCUACCAAGAGGCGGGUAGAUUUCCUCGUCCCCGGCGUCUGGGUUUCACCAUCUGACUUGCAGUGGGAUGUGCAGACAUCGUGCGAGCAGAGGCUUGGAGAAACACUCACCUGUUCCCACUAGCCAUCCUGCGCCUCUGCCGUCAGCGUGAGAAAUGCGCGUGCUGGCCCGAGGAAGGACGAGAGGUACGCAGAGGGAGUCGCCCGUUCACCCCAGCGGAACUCAUGGCUGCGUGAGUAAGUCAGCCCAGCCAACGUCAGCAGGGACACCUGGCUGACCGCCCCAGAUGCACCAGCAGUAAAUGCCAUCCUCACACGCCCUGAGGUUUUGUGCUUUUCUCACGCAGCAUGAGUGUGGGAAGAGCUGACUGAUGCAUCAUCGCCAGGGGGAUGAGCAGCUCACUUCCUAUUGCUCCAGAGGCAGGAGAUGUGGGAUAAACUGGCACUGAGAACAAUGUGUGUGGAGCCAGGCAGACCUAGACUGGGAUUCCAGCUCUGCCCCUUCCUGAUGGGUGUCCUGGGGACAGUCGGUGUUUCUCUGGGCCUCGGUUUUGUCCUCUUUAGAAUGUGGAUAAUAAUAGAACUUACCUCAUGGGGGGUGUAGGGAUUGAGAUGAUGUAUGUAAAGUACCUAGAACAUAGUUAGCACUUAGUAAAUGUGAUCAUUAUUAUAAGCAGAAGUAAUGAUAACACUGUUAUAAACAACCACCACCACAAUCCAGCCUUUGACUUCCUCUCUCCACUCCCUGACACGUGCCCACAACUUGUCAUUCCUCAAACUCUCUAUGUACUCUUAUGCCUCAGUGCCUUUGCACAUGCCAUUCCUUCUCCUCCGACUAGUGAAUCUCCUCCUUUCUUCAAGACCCCACUUAAGUGCAGCGAAAAACUGAAGGUUGAUUAUCUGAGCAUUUCACUCUCCCUCCUGUCCUUUUUGGGUUGUUAUAUGCAAGAGCAUAUUUUUCCUUUAACUCUGGGUCAUCUUGGGUUAGCCAUCUCUCCGUUGCGGGGUGUGAGAGUUCUCUCACACCUGGGCCCACGUGAUGAAACUCUCACGGUUGCAUUUCCCCGAAGGUACGAGAUGUAAGGCCACAGCAUUGUGGCAGAAAAAACACUCACGUGGCAACACGAAACUUUGCUCUGCCAGAUCUCCAAACACAAGGCCGCCAGGAAGCCCCGGCACUCACCGACUGUUCGGCUGGCCGGCCGCUCAGCGGGCAGCGGAUCUUCAUGGAGCAGCUGCUCUGCGCCAGGCCCUGGGGCGGCUCUGGGUUUACAGCUCUGAACAACAGUAAGGUCAUUCCGUGGCGCCCACAGUCCCUCGGGAGGACAGACAGGGCCUGGGCCGCUGCAGGCAAUGGGGGAGCUGUUUGAUGGGGCAGUGGGCGUCUGAGUGGAGAUGUGAGGAGUCAGCCUGGAGGGGGGCGGGGCAGGGGUAUCCCAGGCACUGGGGAGGGGGGCU